AUUGAACGCUGGCGGCAGGCCUAACACAUGCCAGUCGAGCGGAUGAAGGGAGCUUGCUCCUGGAUUCAGCGGCGGACGGGUGAGUAAUGCCUAGGAAUCUGCCUGGUAGUGGGGGAUAACGUCCGGAAACGGGCGCUAAUACCGCAUACGUCCUGAGGGAGAAAGUGGGGGAUCUUCGGACCUCACGCUAUCAGAUGAGCCUAGGUCGGAUUAGCUAGUUGGUGGGGUAAAAGCCUACCAAGGCGACGAUCCGUAACUGGUCUGAGAGGAUGAUCAGUCACACUGGAACUGAGACACGGUCCAGACUCCUACGGGAGGCAGCAGUGGGGAAUAUUGGACAAUGGGCGAAAGCCUGAUCCAGCCAUGCCGCGUGUGUGAAGAAGGUCUUCGGAUUGUAAAGCACUUUAAGUUGGGAGGAAGGGCAGUAAGUUAAUACCUUGCUGUUUUGACGUUACCAACAGAAUAAGCACCGGCUAACUUCGUG
rnacentral:rRNA from 1 species